GUUCUACGUAUGGGUGGUCCCGGAAUCAACCCUGGCGUUACAAGCGCCAUGCUCUACCAACUGAGCCACAGAAGGACCACUGCUACCUGAGCUGGUUGUUUUGACUGUGAUGAUGAUGAUGGUGUUUGUCAGGUUGUUUUUCUACUGUGUUUACGUCCACUGUGUCCCUACUACAGUACAUGGCUCCUGUUAUAGCUGCUGGCAUUGAAUAGGGAAGUCGUUCUGCAAAGCUCUGUAACAAAUGCCUCCCUAUUCCCUAUGGGCCCUAUGGGUCGUGGUCAAAAGUAUGCACUAUGUAGGGAAUAAGGUGCAUUUUGGGAUGCAUCCUCAGUCUGUCCUGCUCCUCAGAGGUCAGAGGUCAGAGGCCUGUUGGGAUGCAUCCUCAAUCUGUCCUGCUCCACAGAGGUCAGAGGUCAGGGGCCUGUUGGGAUGCAUCCUCAAUCUGUCCUGCUCCACAGAGGUCAGAGGUCAGAGGCCUGUUGGGAUGCAUCCUCAAUCUGUCCUGCUCCACAGAGGUCAGAGGUCAGAGGCCUGUUGGGAUGCAUCUUCAAUCUGUCCUGCUCCACAGAGGUCAGAGGUCAGAGGCCUGUUGGGAUGCAUCCUCAAUCUGUCCUGCUCCUCAGAGGUCAGGGGCCUGUUGGGAUGCAUCCUCAGUCUGUCCUGCUCCUCAGAGGUCAGGGGCCUGUUGGGAUCCAUUCCAAUAGAAGUUUGUCAAUUCAGGAAAUAAACUGAAAUUAUAAUUCAAUAAAUUACAAUUAUUUCUCAAUAAACUGAAAAUGAGAAGCUAUUUAUUUCAGAAAGGUUUUUCGGUUUUAAUUAGGAAUCAGAUGGUGUUAAGAGUCUGAGUUUUCAGAAAGGUAUUUUCUCUGUUGACGCUGUCAUCUAGAUGAUCUGCUGUGUCCAGUUUAACCUCUAGCGUCGAGCAAUCCCGUAUCCGGGAGCGUAAUCAUAGCCUCAAGCUCAUUAGCAUAACGCAACGUUAACUAUUCAUGAAAAUCGCAAAUGAAAUGAAAUAAAUAUAUUGCCUCAUAAGCUUAGCCUUUUGUUAACAACACUGUCAUCUCAGAUUUUCAAAAUGUGCUUUUCAACUAUAGCUACACAAGCAUUUGUGUAAGAGUAUUGAUAGCUAGCAUAGCAUUAAGCCUAGCAUUCAGCAGGCAACAUUUUCACAAAAACAAGAAAAGCAUUAAAAAAAAAAUAAUUUACCUUUGAAGAACUUCGGAUGUUUUCAAUGACGAGACUCUCAGUUAGAUAGCAAAUGUUCAGUUUUCCCAAAAAUAUUACUUGUGUAGGAGAAAUCGCUCCGUUUUGUUCAUCACAUUUGGCUGUGAAAAAAAACAAAUUCAGUCAUUACAACGCCAAACUUUUUUCCAAAUUAACUCCAUAAUAUCGACAGAAACAUGGCAAACGUUGUUUAGAAUCAAUCCUCAAGGUGUUUUUCACAUAUAUAUUCGAUGAUAAACCAUUUGUGGCAGUUGGGUUACUCCUCUGAACCAAAUGGAAAAAUACACGCAGCUGGAGAUUACGCAAUUAUUUUGACGGAGGACACCAAGCGGGCACCUGGUAGAUGUAGUCUCUUAUGGUCAAUCUUCCAAUGAUAUGCCUACAAAUACGUCACAAUGCUGCAGACACCUUGGGGAAACGGCAGAAAGUGUAGGCUCAUUCCUUGCGCAUUCACAGCCAUAUAAGGAGACAUUGGAACACAGCGCAUUCAAAAUCUGGGGCAUUUCCAGUCUGAAACUUCAUCUUGGUUUCGCCUGUAGCAUUAGUUCUGGGGCACUCACAGAUAAUAUCUUUGCAGUUUUGGAAACGUCAGAGUGUUUUCUUUCCAAAGCUGUCAAUUAUAUGUAUAGUCGAGCAUCUUUUCGUGACAAAAUAUUGUUUAAAACGGGAACUGUUUUUAUCCAAAAAUUAAGAGUGCCCCCUAUAUCGAAGAAGUUAAAUGAAUCCAUGUUAGUGUCGACGGACCACCGAGACACCACCUGUGUUAAUUAGAUAUCUAGCAUGCACCUGACACCUGUGCUAAUUAGAUAUCUAGCAUGCACCUGACACCUGUGCUAAUUAGAUAUCUAGCAUGCACCUGAAACCUGUGCUAAUUAGAUAUCUAGCAUGCACCUGACACCUGUGCUAAUUAGAUAUCUAGCAUGCACCUGACACCUGUGCUAAUUAGAUAUCUAGCAUGCACCUGACACCUGUGCUAAUUAGAUAUCUAGCAUGCACCUGACACCUGUGCUAAUUAGAUAUCUAGCAUGCACCUGACACCUGUGCUAAUUAGAUAUCUAGCAUGCACCUGACACCUGUGCUAAUUAGAUAUCUAGCAUGCACCUGACACCUGUGCUAAUUAGAUAUCUAGCGUGCACCUGACACCUGUGUGUAAUGGAAGCAGACCGGCAGAAAACGUGUUGUCACUGAAAUAUACUGUCGGCUGAAACUGUGAUAUAGCUGGUCAACACGGUGUACAGCAGCAGUGUAAAAAAUACAUUCUCAUACUUGAGUAAAAGUAAAGAUACUUUAAUGGAUAAUGACUCAAGUGAAAGUGAGUCACCCAGUAAAAUACUACUUGAGUAAAAGUCUUUGGUUUUAAAUAUACAUCAGUAUAAAAAGUAAACAUAAUUGCUAAAAUAUACUUGCGGAUCAAAAGUAAUCGUAUAAAUCAUUUAAAGUUCUUUAUAUUAAGCAAAGCAGAUGGCGCCACAAUUUACAAACUAAGCAUGUGUGUUUAGUGAGUCCAGCAGAUCAAAGGCAGUAGGGACGACCAGGUUCUAUUGAUAAAAUGUAUAAAUUAGACCAUUUUCCUGUCCUGCUAAGCAUUCAAAAUGUACUUUUUGGGUGUCGGGGGAAAAUGUAUGGAGUAAAAAGUACAUUUUAUUUAGGAAUGUAGUGAAGUAAAAAUAUAUAUGAAGUACAGAUAAAUAUAAUAAAGUACACAUACCCCAAAAACGUUUAACUGAAGGACUUCACACCACUUCAGUAAAUGUGUAUUUUACAUUUGUGAAAUGAUUUCGAUGUGAUAUGAAAGUGACAAGGGUUUUAUGUUUCUAUCGCAGUUUUAGAAUCUGAUUCAUGUUUAGAUGGAGUGUCUGUUUUGGCUUCAGAGUAUCCCUCUGAAAAUAACAGAAGGGCCUUGGAGUAACAUUUAGGCCCCUUUUAGAGGUCAUCUUGGGCCAGAACUGGCCCUGUUGUAAAGCUGGCACCACCAUCCUCCACAUCUCAACCCUGGAAACAGAAACGAGGGGAGAGUCUGGACACCGAGGCCCACAGUGAGACCGUUUGGACUACAGGUCACAAAGCUCCUCUGCUCUCCAGGAGCUGGACCUCUCUCCUGCUUCAGCAACACCUGGAC